rnacentral:rRNA from 1 species
CCUACGGGGGGCAGCAGUGAGGAAUAUUGGUCAAUGGGCGAGAGCCUGAACCAGCCAAGUCGCGUGAGGGAGUACUGCCCUAUGGGUUGUAAACCUCUUUUGUCGGGGAGCAAAAGCCGGACGUGUUCGGCUGUGAGAGUACCCGAAGAAAAAGCAUCGGCUAACUCCGUGCCAGCAGCCGCGGUAAUACGGAGGAUGCGAGCGUUAUCCGGAUUUAUUGGGUUUAAAGGGUGCGCAGGCGGAUUUUUAAGUCAGCGGUAAAAUCGUGGGGCUCAACCCCAUCCAGCCGUUGAAACUGGGGAUCUAGAGUGUGCGAGAGGUAUGCGGAAUGCGUGGUGUAGCGGUGAAAUGCAUAGAUAUCACGCAGAACCCCGAUUGCGAAGGCAGCAUACCGGUGCACAACUGACGCUCAGGCACGAAAGCGUGGGUAUCGAACAGGAUUAGAUACCCGAGUAGUC